rnacentral:rRNA from 1 species
UACAGAGGUCCCGAGCGUUGUUCGGAUUCACUGGGCGUAAAGGGCUCGUAGGCGGCCAACUGAGUCAGACGUGAAAUCCCUCGGCUUAACCGGGGAACUGCGUCUGAUACUGGAUGGCUUGAGGUUGGGAGAGGGAUGCGGAAUUCCAGGUGUAGCGGUGAAAUGCGUAGAUAUCGGGAGGAACACCUAUGGCGAAGGCAGCUCGCUGGGACGUUACUGACGCUGAGACGCGAAAGCGUGGGGAGCAAACAGG